GAUGAACGCUGGCGGCGUGCCUAAUACAUGCAAGUAGAACGCUGAAGGAGGAGCUUGCUCUUCUGGAUGAGUUGCGAACGGGUGAGUAACGCGUAGGUAACCUGCCUGGUAGCGGGGGAUAACUAUUGGAAACGAUAGCUAAUACCGCAUGACAACAGUUAUUGCAUGAUAACUGUUUAAAAGGGGCAACUGCUCCACUACCAGAUGGACCUGCGUUGUAUUAGCUAGUUGGUGAGGUAACGGCUCACCAAGGCGACGAUACAUAGCCGACCUGAGAGGGUGAUCGGCCACACUAGGACUGAGACACGGCCCAGACUCCUACGGGAGGCAGCAGUAGGGAAUCUUCGGCAAUGGACGGAAGUCUGACCGAGCAACGCCGCGUGAGUGAAGAAGGUUUUCGGAUCGUAAAGCUCUGUUGUAAGAGAAGAGCGAGUGUGAGAGUGGAAAGUUCACACUGUGACGGUAUCUUACCAGAAAGGGACGGCUAACUACGUG
rnacentral:rRNA from 1 species